rnacentral:rRNA from 1 species
GAUGACCGCUGACAGAAUGCUUAACACAUGCAAGUCAACUGUGGCGGACGGGUGAGUAACGCGUAAAGAACUUGCCUCAAAGCUAGGGACAACAUUUGGAAACGAAUGCUAAUACCUGAUACUGUGAGAGAGCUUUGCGUCCCCUUAGCUCGUUGGAGAGGUAACGGCUCACCAAGGCGAUGAUGGGUAGCCGGCCUGAGAUGGUGAUCGGCCACAAGGGGACUGGGACACGGCCCUUACUCCUACGGGAGGCAGUAGUGGGGAAUAUUGGACAAUGGACCAAAGUCUGAUCCAGCAAUUCUGUGUGCACGAUGAAGUUUUCGGAAUGUAAAGUGCUGUCAGUUGGGAAGCGUUACCAACAGAAGAAGUGACGGCUAAAUACGUGCCAGCAGCCGCGGUAAUAC